CAAGAAAUAGUUUAUAUAAAAUAUUAAUUUUGGAGAUUAAUGUAAUAAAUUAAUUUAUUUUUUUGA
rnacentral:tRNA from 1 species